rnacentral:lncRNA from 1 species
GCGCGGGAACCCGGCCCGGCCGUACCCCGCCGGCCUGCCGACCCGGGUCCGGGGGCCCAGUUGGCGCCCGGACCAGCUCUCCGGUCUGCGUCCUGUAGAUGGGAAAACUGAGGCCUGAGAGGGCGCGAGGGCGGGGACGAGGCCGAGGACUCGGGUUCGAAUCUCGAGGACGCCAGUAGCCCGCUCUGAGGCCGCGUGGGGCUGGUGGAGGAGCCACCGGUCGGGCCCCCAAGACCGGCUGACGUGGGCCUCGCCUCGGGCGACUCCCGCCGGGCUAGUGGCUGGCCGUGUGGUGACCUUGGGCGAGUUACUUCGCACAGCCACCCAGGGGCCUCUUCUCCAACACGAUAGCACUGCACCCGGAGGAAGCAAGCUGGCAUGUGGCAGCCUGCGGAUGUUGGGAGGCCACACGGCAAGGAACUGCAGCAUCUCUAGGAGCUGAGGGUGGACCCUGACUGGCAGCCAACAACAAACUGAAGCUCUCAAGCCUACCACCAUAAGGAAUUGAAUUCUGCCAAUAACCUGAGCCUUCAGACCUGAGCUGAAAUCUACACCACCGGCUCUCUGACUAUCAGGCUUUGGACUAUACUUUGGGCUUUCCUGGGUCUCUUACCUGGCAGACAGCAGAUUUUGGAACUUUUCAGCCUCCAUAAUCAUUUCCCAGAAGAACCACAAAGCAUAAAUUUCCCCAAAAGGGGAAUUUUGUUGAUGGCUUUAGUCUAUUCCCUCCUAAAAGACCAGCUACAACCAAAUGAAGUGAACAUAACCUCAAGGGUGUAUUGUCUUCAUAAUAAAAGAUGAAGCUUAGAACUGGA